UUUCUGACUAAACAAAUACUCAUAUGAACAAGAACAGGAAGGCUCUCUCCAUUUUGAUGCGUGCUAGAAUGCGUCCACCUUCCCCCACCACCAACAGAAUAAAUCAAAUGCAAUUCUCGCCAAUCGAUGGCGUUAGGAACGGCAAAGUUUCUACUUCUCAGGAUGCCUCCGCCACUCUCCACACAGAUUUUGUGAGAGUGCAACAAUCGAUGCAUGCUGCUAUUUCAAUGAACAAGACAGAGAUUCUCGAUGUUGCACUAGAUGAUUUUUCUGAGGGUUACUAUGGCCUUCCCAAUGAGAACCGUCGGGCAUUAUUGUUGGCACUUGCUAGGGAAUAUGAUCUUAAUCGGAAGCAAGUUCGUGAUUUGAUGAAACAAUAUCUUGGGCUUGAACUUCCAAGCAGUGAUAAGCCGCUGGAAAAUGCACAUGAAGGCGAGGGAUCAUUCUCUGCUUUCUACAGGAUCGAGAGGAAUUUGAGGGAAUCGCUCAAGCCAAUGUACGAAGUUCUUUUCGAACGGCUGAACACACACCCUGGAGGACUAAGAUUCUUAUCAAUUAUGAGGGCCAACAUACUAUCUUUUCUCGCGGAGGAAAAUACUGCCGUGCUGAGAGCAUUGGACUCUUACUUGAAAGAGAAGCUUAUUACAUGGCUCAGUCCUGCAAAUCUUCAGCUUCAUCACAUAACUUGGGAUGAUUCAGCAUCUCUGUUGGAAAAGAUUGUAGCACAUGAGGCAGUUCAUCCAAUCAGUAAUCUUCUAGAUCUGAAGCGAAGACUGGGUAUGGGACGCCGCUGUUUUGGGUACUUACACCCAGCGAUUCCAGGCGAACCAUUAAUUUUUAUUGAAGUUGCACUCAUGAAGCACGUGGCUCAAACAAUACAGGAAGUUCUAUGGGAUGAUCCUCCAAUACCUGAAUGUGAGGCAACAUGUGCACUUUUUUACUCCAUCUCUUCUACUCAGCCAGGUUUAUCUGGAAUCAACCUGGGAAAGUUUCUUAUAAAACGUGUGAUUGAUGUCGUUAGAAGAGACAUGCCAACAAUUUCAACAUUUGCGACUCUUAGUCCUAUACCAGGUUACAUGCAAUGGCUUUUGUCAAAACUGGCACCCACUGAAAUAUCUGAUUCAACUUUCAGUGAGAACUUGCUAACACCAGAAGAAGAAAGUGCACUCCUUGAGGCUACCGAAGAACUUUCCAUGGGAAAAAAUGGGAUGGAAGUAUUGCGGAACUUGUUGUCAUCAAGUGAAAAAUGGAUUAAUUCAGAAAAGUUGGCAUCUGUGCUGAGAAUUCCUCUAAUGAGGCUCUGUGCCAGGGUUGUUUUCUACUGUGUUGCUAUAGUAUCUUGUUCUCAUUUAUACUUGAUUGAAGGUAUCUUCUUCAAGAGAAGAAGAGAGGAAAGGCUCUGGAUUCUGUUGGAAAUUUUCACUUGCAAAAUGGAGCGAUGGUUGGAAGGAUUAAUUGGAUGGCAGAUCUAUCCGAAAAGGGCAUAAAGCAAAGUGCGGGCAUAAUGGUUAACUACAUUUAUGAGGUGGAGCAUAUCGAGGAAAAUGCUCAGUUGUAUUUUGGUGAUGGGGAAAUUGGAGCUUCUGAUGAAGUCAGAUCCUACCUUGAGCAACGUCAAGAGCAUCACCAAGAAGAAAUCAAAGAUUAGAAGGUUGGUGAAGGCCUCAGCAUCUCCUCUAAUAGUAAGCAUUUUUUGCAAUAUGAAGGUAUAUAUACCGAUGUAUAUGUAAGAAUUAUUCAUCUUUUGCUUAUGAGAAGCUAUGGCCUGCAUCUGUAUAGUUUACUCCAAACAAGUAGGAUUAAAUAAAUCAAGCUGCUUUAUCCCAGGCUUCCCUGCAGGCUUGUAUUUCAAAAAUUUGGAUCUUUUUUUAAUAACAUAUUUGUAUUUGCAAAAUUGUAA